GGAAAGAUGAAAAGAACUUUGAAAAGAGAGUUAAACAGUACGUGAAAUUGUUGAAAGGGAAACGAUUGAAGUCAGUCAUACCAACGGGAAAUCAACCUUUUGAGUUUGUUCUUGUGGGUUUCGAGGAGUUUAAAAGCCUUCUGAUUUGUGAGGAUUGGGCUCUUUUGGUGUACUUUCUCGUACGGUUAGUCAACAUCGGUUUUGAAUGUCAUAAAAUGACUGGAGGAAUGUGGCUUCGAUCUCGUAUCGAAGUGUUAUAACCUUUGGUAGAUGUGAUGUUCGAGACCGAGGAUUGCAACGGAUACCUUCCAGGCUAUUCGUCUGAUCUCUGAUACGUUGCCUUGAUGUCGAAAGCGUGCUUAUGAUGUUAGGGUAUUACGGUCAAAAGGUUAGAACGGAUUAAAUUCGUUAAGGAUGUUGACGUAAUGACUUUAAACGACCCGUCUUGAAACACGGACCA
rnacentral:rRNA from 1 species